AAGGGGUGAUUUCUGCAGAGAAAAAUGAUAGCGCCGGGGACUGCAGAGGAACGAGGCACUCUAUUGUGUUUUGUCAUAACGAGUAUUAAUUUUUGUCUCAUCGAUGGGCACCACUUCUACGCAGCCCCGUGGAGGAUGCGCGCGAGCUUUUGCGCGCAGCUGGAAGCGCGCUAGGGUCAGUGGGGAAUCCUGUGCUGCAUAGAUGCCCCCGGCGGCGCGGAGGGAAGACCUAGGCCUGCCCAGCACAGAGCGAGCGAGCGCCGGGCCUUCCGGAAGGCCCGGGCCCGCGAGCGCCGCAACGGGUCUCCGAUGGCCUCCUGGCGCUGGGUUUCCGGCCUUUCGGGGCAGCCGCGACAGAAGGGUCCGGAAGCGGGGACCGGGACGCCUCUCUCCCCGGCCACAAUCACACCCGGAAAACACUAGGGUGAAAAUGACAAGAGGCUCUCGGUGGGGUGCAACUGACAGAGGGUCGCCGUGGAAAAGCUCCUGGCGUUUGUUUCCGCAAGGGCCCUUGGUUUCCUGGUCACCAUGGCAACCCCGGAGUCCCGUCGAACAACAACUGAGCGCCCCGGGGACAAUUGCACACUUUUGCGGCGCGUUCUGAGGCCUGCAAGGCGCUUCCGCCCCCAAACUCAUGGCUUUCCGGAGCCCCCUCAAAGGGUUCUACAAGGCAGGGAUUGAAAAACUCUCCCCCCCCUUUUUUUUUCAACGGAGGAGAAAAAUCGAGGAAUAGUGCAAUCUCUAACCGGGAGGUUCGGGUGUGGAGCAAAAGCCCCCACUUACAGCGUUCAGGGCGAUGACCUUGGAGGCGCGCGCGAAUGCAGCUUACGGGAUACUUAAACUGCCAUCAAGCCCGCACCUUGAAUGUCUCAACUCGGGACCCGGGAUUCUGGGAAUCAGGAAUCUCUUCACUCUGCUGCCCACUCCCAUCCACACCUUAGAUCCCCCACAUCCAUCCGAGCAAUCCUUUCUCCUGCCUGGAAUAACUCCUCCUCAAUGAGGAAGGAGAAAAAUCAGAAACGAAAUUUUCGGCAUUAAUACCUGCACGCUCUCACUGAGAGAAAGAAUAAAUUGUACUCCUUUUCCCUUUAGAGAAAUCAUUUUCCAUUGUAGACACAAUAUAAAUACAGUAAGAGAAUCUCU